rnacentral:ncRNA from 1 species
AGUGCUAGGGGUGCCCAGUGGCUGAGAGGAAUAUAUAAUCAUAUAUUCUAACCCUUGAACCUGACAUGGAUAAUACCAGCGUAGGGAAGCAAAA